rnacentral:rRNA from 1 species
GACGAACGCUGGCGGCGUGCUUAACACAUGCAAGUCGAACGGAAAGGCCCUGCUUUUGUGGGGUGCUCGAGUGGCGAACGGGUGAGUAACACGUGAGUAACCUGCCCUUGACUUUGGGAUAACUUCAGGAAACUGGGGCUAAUACCGGAUAGGAGCUCCUGCUGCAUGGUGGGGGUUGGAAAGUUUCGGCGGUUGGGGAUGGACUCGCGGCUUAUCAGCUUGUUGGUGGGGUAGUGGCUUACCAAGGCUUUGACGGGUAGCCGGCCUGAGAGGGUGACCGGCCACAUUGGGACUGAGGUACGGCCCAGACUCCUACGGGAGGCAGCAGUGGGGAAUAUUGCACAAUGGGCGGAAGCCUGAUGCAGCAACGCCGCGUGCGGGAUGACGGCCUUCGGGUUGGAAACCGCUUUCGCCUGUGACGAAGCGUGAGUGACGGGAAUGGGUAAAGAAGCACCGGCUAACUACGU